rnacentral:rRNA from 1 species
GGAGUCUGGGCCGUGUCUCAGUCCCAAUGUGGCCGUUCAACCUCUCAGUCCGGCUACUGAUCGUCGACUUGGUGAGCCGUUACCUCACCAACUAUCUAAUCAGACGCGAGGCCAUCUUUCAGCGGAUUGCUCCUUUGACCGGUCUGCCAUGCGACAAUCCGGUGUCAUGCGGUAUUAGCGUCCUUUUCAAGACGUUAUCCCCCUCUGAAAGGCAGGUUCCUCACGCGUUACUCACCCGUCCGCCACUAACUUUCAAGGAGCAAGCUCCUAUCAGUCCGUUCGACUUGCAUGUGUUAGGCACGCCGCCAGCGUUCGUCCUCGAGCCACUGAUCAAACUACU